GAGAAAUAUCAUCUCUAUUAUUGUCUGUAAAAUGUUCCAUGUUGAUUGUAAGAAUCUCAAACUUGUAGAUUUAAUUAAAUAUGCAUCUAGCUAAUUAUGUUGUUAGAUGUGGAAAUGAUCCCUUUACCAAUCUUUAUUUUGGCAAAAUAACAGGCGCUUUGGUGACAAGUGUCAAUCAUAGAGAUAAAUAGAGGACUCUAGCUGGAUAUAACCAAUGUUCCCUCUAAACUGCACGCUUCCGUGGACACACAGCUCCCCCGGGAUUGCAGUACAGAAGAAAUAUCAGCCUGCGCAGAGAAGCACAAGAUUGAAAUUCACUCAACUACCUAGAGUUUUCCCCGUUAGUUAACACUACCAACGUUUUUCUUUACUGUGGGAAUUUUGAUCAAAUCAAUGCAAUAUUAGCCACUUUCAUUGCAACAUACUGAAACAAAACUAACUAUGCAAGAGAUGUUGUUGUAGGCAGAACGCAGCAGAGUAGGAUUCUAUUUAAUUGACAGGCACGACUCAUGCCUGUACUCUACACAGACUGGUGCGCCAUAACCAAUCAGAGUUGCAGUAGGCCUAUAUGCAAAUAGACCAUUGCCAUAUGUGGAUCUGUGCCAUUCACUUUGAACUGGACUGUUUUUACAGCAUGAGCGGUCGUGAGUAGAUGCGUUUCUUUUGAGAUCAAAGCGAGAGCUAACGUGUAUGAAUAUGGCCGGUGUCAGUAAACAUCUGCAAAAAAGCGUAAUGAAAUUGAACUAAUUCUUAUUUACAGUGAUGGCCUACACCAGCCAAACCCAGACGACAUUGAGCGCCACCCUAUGGGACUCCCAAUCACAGCCGGAGGUUUUACAGCCUGGAUUCAAACCAGGGACUGUAGUGACACCUCUUGUACUGAGAUGCAGUGCCUUAGAACGCUGCGCCACUCGGGAGCCCUUAAGAGGGUGUGAACAAUGCUGAACGGAUGUAGACAAAGAAUAGAUACCAAAAUAUUCAAAGGCCAUUUUCUUAAAAGAUGCUCCACCCCAGUACAACAGAAGACAGUCUCUAGUGGUGUCUCCCUACGAUGAACGUACUGCUGCCAUGGCCCACGGAAACAUUGGUUCCCAGCUUCCAGGGAGGCUGUUUAUCAUCGGUAAGCCCAGUAGCUAUCACCUGGAUGGGAUCCUGCCCCGCCUUCCGUCCUACGAGAGCGUCCGUAAGAAGGACCGUCAGAGACAGAUCCACUCUAUGAUAGCCAACCGCUUUGGUAUCAGCCCCACACAGUCUGAAACGGAGCCUCCUCCGACGUAUGAGGAGACUCUUCGCCAGUCCAUGAUCAUCUCCUCUGAAGACCUACAGUCUGUUGAGGCACGUCCCUCAGACCUCCCUCUCUCCACCUCUACCUCCAGCCUUGAACACACAGUGACAGUAGCCCGGUCACCCUACCACCCUAUUCAGAGCCCGACCCAGGAACCCCUCUCUGUCUAGUCCAGGAGUUAUUUGAGGGCCGGAACACUACUGGUUUUCAACUUCGCAUUUUAACUACAGACUCAUGUUUCUACCCUUUGCAAGAGAAAAGAAGACAAAUCAACAAAGAAAGAGACAUUGUCAUGAUAAUGCAUGAGUCAGUUUCACUCAGAGUUUGUCCUACUGAGACUAACGCUCUCAACUCUGACUGUCUGUUGGUGUAGCGAGUGGUUUUAACAUGACUGUAUGCUGUAAAUGGCUUGAUAUCCUGCCACUGGCAAUGAUAUCCUUUAUCAGCUAAAUAAUCAAAUCAGCCUACAUUUCAAACUCUAGACAUGCUCGGGUGUGUGGAAAGAAGAUGUCCGCACCUCACAAGCAGACAUAUUAUGCUUCAAUCACAACGUCCAAUGUUGUAGACAACCACAAAACAAGGACACUGUCUCGAGUUGAACGUGUUAAUGAAAAAUCGAAAUCUCCUUGUUUCAAAAGAACACCGAGCUAUGAAUACCCAGCUACCUGACAUGUGAUGAUGACGGCUUUGAGUGUAGGGCCAGACCAGAGAGCUGUUGUGGUUGAACACAUCACUAAUUAUUAACACUACUGAGACAGACAAUGCCUAUGUCCCAAAUGGCACCCUUAAUCCCCAUGUAGUGCACUACAUAGGAAAUAGGGUCCCAUUUGAGACACAAUCAAAGUGUGUUCACUCAGGAACAGUUGACCAGGGACUGUUUGUCUUAACCCAGGUCAAACUAACUAUGCACAGAGAAACUCACAAUGACCCUGACGUUUUCUGACCGUGACGUUCCGGAUUGUUUUUGAAACUGCACUGUCGGUUAGGGGCUCGUAAGUAAGCAUUUCACUGUAAGGUGUGACCUGUUGUACUCGGCGCAUGUGACUAAUACAAUUUGAUUUGAUUUACCUCCUGGGCUAAACUGGAAUGGGUUUGUCAAUGUGUUUAGACUGAGAUACGUUAUGUAUACUAUGUAAAACAUUCCUAUUAUGUGUGACCCAAAUCAAACAAAAAAACAUGUGAAAGUAAUAGUUAAAUAGCUGAACCAAAAAGGGUAAAAUAGGUGAACUAAAGUAGAUAUAAAUUACCUAUCCGCUUUUUAAAAAAGUUUACUCUAACCACGUUUCCAUCCACAUUUUUAAUGCUAGUAAAGUCAGCUGUGAAGGAAACAAGAAGUUUCAGUACUAUUUUAUAAAUGCUGACAGAUCAUUUGUUCGUUCGACAUGGUGGGAUCUUUUUGUGUCUGUAAAAUGUGUUAUGUGAGAAAUGGCGGUGGAAACUCGUUUAUGCACAAAUAUUGAUAUAACAACCAUCGUAUGGAAGUAAACUUGGAGUCACGCGAUGACAUGGUGUGUGUGGUCCUCCCACUACGACUGGGGAAUCCAUGCAGUUUAUUAGAAUACAGAUGAAAUAAAUGAUGAACUUCACAGGGGGGUGAAAGUGCACAGUGAUGAGCUUGAUGCUCCUUUCCAAUAAAUAUUGAGGGUCUGAUUCUGGUGAUCGAUGCUUGACUGCCAUUUGACAAAAACAAAUAUUGUUGCUCCUAUCCAUAAUAAUCUCAUCAUGUAGACUAGCCUACCCGCACUGUAUCUACAAGCUGUUGGCUAGAGCGAACGUGCCAAGACCAAUGAGCCUGUCCUCCUACAGCUCCCCCCACCAGCCUCCAUUGCAGAGUAGGUACAUUUACUAUUUAACGUAACAGUUCUUUGUGACAAAACUAUCAGUAGAAGUGAAAAUGUGAUGGCAACAUAUUGAACUUUAGACUUUUAUUAAGUACAUGAAAACUUAAGCAAAAAAGAAAAUUGUGUGCGUCAUCGCUCACUGAUUUUUAUUUGCAAGAAGUCAGUUUGAAUUACACCACUAGUGGGAAAAUCUCCAUAUUUUCUUUAUGCAGAUUUAUUGAAUAUUCACAUGAAAAUCAGUCUCUAAUUAAAUGGAAAACUAGCUAGUGAGACAAAUUAGUUUAGAUUUGUUGUAUUAACUUGACCUAUAUUCAUCUGACAGGAUUGCUAUCAAACUUACUGUCAAGGUGUCAAAAGGGAACACUCCUGCUGUUCUGUUCAUUGACGUUUGUUAAAGUGAGUUAAUUUGUCCGUUUUUCUCUACCAGGCACAAAUAUGUCCAUAUCCUAGAAUAGAUGGUGAGUAAUGUCAGCGAAGGGAGUAGCGACCUCAUUUUAACCUCUCCCUCUUUGCAGAGUUUCUCUCCCCAAACGCAAUCUUCCCCUAAGCACUUACAAAUCUUAUAACACAACACGCUCUAAACUACAGCGCUCAUCAGUUAUUAGAGGGCCUCCAUGAGAAGUGUUUUGACAAGCUGUCAUCUUGUGGUGAAUGUACCAGGGCAUUCGUAAUGUAUUCCACACUCCCCUGCAUUCCACUGGGAGGAGUUGACAUACCAUCUGUAACUCAUACUCUCAAAAUAAAUGGCACCUAACUCACUCUACAGGUUCUGAGUAAAGUAUGAUUUGUAAAAUACUAUAAACAUCCUGCCAUCACACUGGGCACAGACAUCAGUCCAAAUUCUACUUUUGAUUUCCAUUUGGUGGAGUUGUCAACUACUGUGAAUUCAACAACAAAACAUCUCACCAUGUCAUUGGAUUUAGGUUCAAAGUUU
rnacentral:lncRNA from 1 species